AGAUCACCUAGUGGCGCGAACGCGAGAACAGGAAGUAAAGCCGACAAGCUAGCUAGCACCAGAGCUCGGGACAGUCUAGAGGAAAAUCGCUGUAAACACUAAUAAAAGGUUGUGUGCUAACCGCAAUAUUGGCCAGGCGGAGGGACACGCUGAGCAGCAGUGCAGAGGGGAGAGGUGAUGUUACUUGCCAAGUGUGUAGCAGCUAUCGUUCAACACACUGGAAGAAAUUUUCCACUUGUCGAAGUGGUUGGUUCUUUACUUCUUCUCCUAUUGCUCCAUCCAAAACUCCACAGCAUAUGUGAGACACUAAACAAAUAAAGGCUCUAUAAGAGGUUUCUAAGCGGGCACUUGUCAGAUGAUUUAGGAAAGUAAGACCCAUGGGUAAUAGAUCCACUGAUGGCGCAGUUUUAUGGGAAAGCACAUUCAAAUGCAAAAUUGCAGCGUAUGUCUUCUGACCGGGAGGGAAUCAACCAGAAUGAGCUAACCACCCACAGAGGACCAUGAUUUUCUUGAUUUGUGUCAUUGUCAGAUCCCAGGGAGCAAAAUGCAGACUGCACACAAACCCACUGGUGAGCCGCAUGUAACAAAAAUCCCAUCGAGUGCUGUAUUGGUGGUUGUUUGUCCUAACACAUUGUGGCGAGCAGCAGUUUCUGCAAUAAGCAGAGUGCGCUCUGACAAGAACUGUGCUGUGUAUUACAUUUCCUACCCUGCUAAUAUGUCAUAGACAUCAAAGGAAAGGGAAACUGGCAUUGUCAAAACUCCAAAAGUUGAUACAUGAAAAAAAUCAACAGUUAUAUUAUAUCUAAAUAACAGAAGAAAAACUGUAAGGGAAAAAAUAUUGCAACUGCCUUCACAGUUGUCAUUCACAUUAUGCAAAAACGCAUGCAAGCUACCCGUUCCACAGUAACAUCUCGGGUCCUAUUUCAACAAAUUAUUUUUGCAAGUCGUGCGUUCACAUAGAAUGCAAAUGAUUGCAGUGUCCCAUUUUCAACAAUUAUAUAGCUCGGUAAUAAUUGCACAUAAAUCUGCAUGCAUCUUAAGCAUGAAGGAGCUUUCGUAAAACACAGAGCAGCGCAAAUGAAUGUUCGUUGCAGACUGGGUGCAAUGGGACAUUGCUGGGGCACGCAUCAUUUCCUGAGGAUCCCUUGCAAGCAGGAAGCAAUUUGUUUCCUGUGGAGGACAGAACUACGGAGGGAGGCAGAUGCAUUACAUGGAAUUGUGUUUACUAACAUCUUGUUGGCUGUAAACCACAUGAUACUGUUGUAUUACAUGCAGAUCUAAAAUAGAAACAAUCACAUUAAAACAUGUCUAGUCUAUGGGAUACAUUUCAAGCCCUGUCGACCUGAUUGUAUGUAAUAUAUCAUAUUCUCACAAUAGGAAAAUAUCAAAAUGACAUCAAACAAAAUGUUGAAUAUAUUACAUAUCAUAAUCGGAAUAUAUCAUAUUCUCACAAUAGGAAAAUAUCAAAAUGACAUCAAACAAAAUUCAACAAAAUAUUGAAUUUGAUAAACCAUCCCAGACCUGCCUUAAGAUGUACUUCUACAAUAUGUGCUCAUAGUGUAAUUUCCGUAGUUAUUGUAGAAAUGUGUUAGGCAUCAUCUUAAUUCAUCUAAUGGUGUUCCAUUUUAGCAGCGUCCCAUAGGAUCUGAAGGAGCAGCCCCAUCAUGUCAUAUUUAUUAUUCAAAUAACUGAUCUCAAUUAAUGAGCCAGACAUUAUAAUGAGCUAUUACGCCAGAAUUUCCUAUUGUGCGGAUGACACUGGAGAACAUUCAGCCCGGUGGGUAAUUAUAGCUCAAUGAAACCGACAUAAGUGAAAUGAUGCAGAUGAAGAAAAUGGUUGCGCUUUAAUCCUCGGCAAGGCACACAUCUGGGAAUCUGUUUUUUUUUUCUUCUUCAAUUAAAACCAAGUAUGUUCUGAGCUCAGUGAAUGGGGAUUUAGAAGAAUCCAACACAUGAAAUAGAAAAAAAGAAUCUCGCUAACUGAAGGCAGCCAUUAUAGGCAGCAGUGAAAAUAAUUAUCACAAUAGAUCCAAACGUACAUCCAUCCACAGGUUGUGGGUCUUUAAUGGUGUUUAAUUCACAUUUGAUUGGAUUGUCUCUUGAGAUACGCUCUUAAAAAAUGCACAAAUGAAGCGGACUAAUCAGCUUCGUCCUUGGUCAAACAGAAUUAAGAGGCGGCGGCAGAGCUUGUUUAUGGCUGCGGGGUUAAAGAAGGGCUUCUCAUUAUGCACCCUUCCCCGAGACAACACUCGGCCUCACCCAAGGCAUGGAGUGUCACUGAGAUUAUACACCUCUCUGCAUAAUGUCAGCCUACUGGUGGACAGAAAAAAAAACACUGCGUGUAGCCCUUUGAUGCUUGCAGCGCCCCCGCCCCCAUCAACAACUACCCUCAUCUCAGUCAAUCAAUCCUUCUCGCAAAAAUCACAAGGUGACAUGGACGCUGGUUGCCCUGGCAACCAUUGCUAUACAACUGUUGCUGGCUCUCUCAAGAACAAGGCACGAGGGAGAGGAAAUAAAAGGCUAGAGGAAGGGAGGGAGGGACAAGGGUGAAAGGUCACGCCAUGGCUUCUGCUGCAGCCUCCUCUCCAAGGUGGCUUCUCGGCUCAAAGCUCUGCAGCAAACUACCAAUUAAUUUCAGAAACUAAUGAAAAAACUUCCUUUUUGUAAAUGUAGGUGCACAUUUCUAAUCAUCUCCUCAGCAGCUGCUCACUUAUAUAUAUUUGAUAUAGCAUUAAAAUUAGGGUUUUAUAUUUAUGCCCUUAUCUCUCUAUUAUAAAGGGUGGAACAAAAAAAUACAUGAGACUCAGGAGUUAUAAAUAGUCCACACUAAUG